rnacentral:rRNA from 1 species
GACGAACGCUGGCGGCGUGCUUAACACAUGCAAGUCGAACGGAAAGGCCCUGCUUUUGUGGGGUGCUCGAGUGGCGAACGGGUGAGUAACACGUGAGUAAACUGCCCUUGACUUUGGGAUAACUUCAGGAAACUGGGGCUAAUACCGGAUAGGAGCUCCUGCUGCAUGGUGGGGGAUGGAAAGUUUCGGCGGUUGGGGAUGGAAUCGAGGCUUAUGAGCUUGUUGGUGGGGUAGUGGCUUACCAAGGCUAUGACGGGUAGGCGGCCUGAGAGGGUGAACGGCCACAUUGGGACUGAGAUAGGGCGCAGACGCCUACGGGAGGCAGCAGUCGGGAAUAUUGCACAAUGAGCGCGAGCCUGAUGCAGCAACGCCGCGUGCGGGAUGACGUCCUUCGGGUUGUGAACCGCUUUCGCCUGUGACGAAGCGUGAUUGACGGUAAUGGGUAAGGAAGCACCGGCUAACUACGUG